rnacentral:rRNA from 1 species
GGGAUUGCCCUAGUACGGCGAGUGAAGCGGCAACAGCUCAAAUUUGAAAUCUGGCUCUUUUAGAGUCCGAGUUGUAAUUUGCAGAGGGCGCUUUGGCAUUGGCAGCGGUCCAAGUUCUUUGGAACAGGACGUCACAGAGGGUGAGAAUCCCGUACGUGGUCGCUAGCCUUUGCCGUGUAAAGCCCCUUCGACGAGUCGAGUUGUUUGGGAAUGCAGCUCUAAAUGGGAGGUAAAUUUCUUCUAAAGCUAAAUACUGGCCAGAGACCGAUAGCGCACAAGUAGAGUGAUCGAAAGAUGAAAAGCACUUUGGAAAGAGAGUCAAAUAGCACGUGAAAUUGUUGAAAGGGAAGCGCUUGCAGCCAGACUUGCCUGUAGUUGCUUAUCCGGACUUUUGUCCGGUGCACUCUUCUGCGGGCAGGCCAGCAUCAGUUUGGGCGGUUGGAUAAAGGUCUCUGUCAUGUACCUCCUUUCGGGGAGGCCUUAUAGGGGAGACGACAUGCAACCAGCCUGGACUGAGGUCCGCGCAUCUGCUAGGAUGCUGGCGUAAUGGCUGUAAGCGGCCCGUCUUGAAACACGGACCAAGGAGUCUAACAUCUAUGCGAGUGUUUGGGUGUCAAGCCCAGACGCGUAAUGAAAGUGAACGGAGGUGGGAACCUUUUAGGUGCACCAUCGACCGAUCCUGAUGUCUUCGGAAGGAUUUGAGUAAGAGCAUGGCUGUUGGGACCCGAAAGAUGGUGAACUAUGCUUGAAUAGGGUGAAGCCAGAGGAAACUCUGGUGGAGGCUCGCAGCGGUUCUGACGUGCAAAUCGAUCGUCAAAUUUGGGCAUAGGGGCGAAAGACUAAUCGAACUAUCUAGUAGCUGGUUCCUGCCGAA